GUUAGUUUGUGCCAUGAACCAAUUCAUAUCACUCUCUGCUUGCCACAUUCUAAAUGGUUAAGUCACUAAUUGAAGACUCUAUUGCAGAAAAUGCUCAAGAGGCAAUUCCGUACACUGAAAGCCCAGGGAAGACUCCCGCUAGACCUCCCUCUGAGACCAAUGAAGGCCUGGCUCCUGGCAGGGAAAAGAGUCUUCUUGGAACUUGGGAUGCAAAGAGGGGCCUGGAAUUACAGGAGACAGAGAGAGUUCUCCUGGUCAGUUGCCAGAGAGUUCAGGAUGAAUUAAGGAUUUCUGAUUUCACCGUGGAC
ensembl:lncRNA